rnacentral:rRNA from 1 species
AUUGAACGCUGGCGGCAGGCCUAACACAUGCAAGUCGAGCGAGCGGCGGACGGGUGAGUAAUGUCUGGGAAACUGCCUGAUGGAGGGGGAUAACUACUGGAAACGGUAGCUAAUACCGCACAACAUCAGAUGUCCCAAGAGGGGUUUAGCUAGUGGGUGGGGUAACGGCUCACCUAGGCGACGAUCCCUAGCCGGUCUGAGAGGAUGACCGGCCACACUGGAACUGAGACACGGUCCAGACUCCUACGGGAGGCAGCAGUGGGGAAUAUUGCACAAUGGGCGAAAGCCUGAUGCAGCCAUGCCGCGUGUGUGAAGAAGGCCUUCGGGUUGUAAAGCACUUUCGGCAGGGAGGCGGUACCCGAAGAAGAAGCACCGGCUAACUCCGUGCCAGCAGCCGCGGUAAUUC